UGCUGCCUCGGCUUAGCUCAGUGAUGGACUUU
rnacentral:piRNA from 1 species